rnacentral:rRNA from 1 species
GUGCCAGCCGCCGCGGUAAUACCGGCAGCCCGAGUGAUGGCCGAUAUUAUUGGGCCUAAAGCGUCCGUAGCUGGCCGCGCAAGUCCGUCGGGAAAUCCACCUGCUCAACAGGUGGGCGUCCGGCGGAAACUGUGUGGCUUGGGACCGGAAGGCUCAGAGGGUACGUCCGGGGUAGGAGUGAAAUCCCGUAAUCCCGGACGGACCACCGAUGGCGAAAGCACUCUGGGAAGACGGCUUCGACAGUGAGGGACGAAAGCUAGGAUCUCGAACCGGAUUAGAUACCCUGGUAGUCC